GGGUUUAUAUUUAAAAAAUAAAAUUUGAUUUGCAGUCAAAAAUUAGUAAAGAUACUUAAGCCCA
rnacentral:tRNA from 1 species